CCUACGGGUGGCAGCAGUGAGGAAUAUUGGUCAAUGGGCGCGAGCCUGAACCAGCCAAGUCGCAUGAGGGAAGACGGCCCUACGGGUUGUAAACCUCUUUUGCCGGGGAGCAACGGGCGCCACGUGUGGCGCCACUGAGAGUACCCGGAGAAAAAGCAUCGGCUAACUCCGUGCCAGCAGCCGCGGUAAUACGGGGGAUGCGAGCGUUAUCCGGUUUUAUUGGGGUUAAAGGGUGCGUAUGCGGAGCGUUAAGUCAGUGGUCAAAUUGAGGGGCUCAACCCCGUGCCGCCAUUGAAACUGGCGCUCUUGAGUGGAAGAGAGGUAUGCGGAAUGCGUGAUGUAGCGGUGAAAUGCAUAGAUAUCACGCAGAACCCCGAUUGCGAAGGCAGCAUGCCGGCUUCCUACUGACGCUGAAGCACGAAAGCGUGGGGAUCGAACAGGAUUAGAUACCCUGGUAGUC
rnacentral:rRNA from 1 species